rnacentral:scRNA from 1 species
CGACGGUGCCGCUCUUGGAGACUACGCCGAUC